GUAUUACAACUUUGUUUUUGUAAUAUAGCAUUGCAGCUUCAAGGUGAUCAAUCCUAAAAUCACUCAAGAGAUAUAUUAUCCAAGUUAGUUCACAUUAUACACUUGUUAUUACUUUAUAUCCUACUUUAAUAGAUGAUUUGGAAACAAUUUGCUGUUUAUUGGAUUUCUAAGAUAUUAGAUAACUACUGAAUAGAAUGCAAAAUCCCAUAACAAACUUUCUCAUGAUGUGGAAUCUAAGAUCAACUAAUGUGAUAAAAAAACAUCAUAUAUACUCUAGUAUUCAUAAUCAUUAAACUCUCAACAA
rnacentral:lncRNA from 1 species